rnacentral:lncRNA from 1 species
AACGAGCUCUGAGGAACUUUUUCUACUGUUCAAAUCCUGGUAAACAUUGUAAAUUUGCAAGUAAACAGCAGCGACAAUAGCCAAGUAUUUCUCGGAAAUGAAAUUUAAACGAAUUACUCAACAAAGUUACAAGUGAAAACAGUGAAUGUAUCUGCACCAGCUCCAGAGAAGAUAAGGUAUUGAGGCUUUUAACAUCCCUCCGCGCUGGUGUGUAUCAUUCCAGAUCUAGAAUUCCGAAAUUGGAGAGAAGUAUCUUUACUUGAUCAACAAAGUCCGAGCCAGUUGCAUACUCUGUUAGCAUUCCAACGGCAAAACCGAACAUUGCCCAUCUGUAAUGCCAAAAUCACAAAUACAUGAGAACAAGAUCACAGAUCAACAAACUAAACUAU